rnacentral:rRNA from 1 species
AGGACGGACGCUGGCGGCGUGCUUAACACAUGCAAGUCGAGCGGAAAGGCCCUUCGGGGUACUCGAGCGGCGAACGGGUGAGUAACACGUGAGCAACCUGCCCUUAGCUCUGGGAUAGCUCCGGGAAACCGGAAUUAAUACCGGAUACGACCUAGGCCGACAUCGGCCGUGGUGGAAAGUUUUUCGGCUAGGGAUGGACUCGCGGCCUAUCAGCUAGUUGGUGGGGUAAAGGCCUACCAAGGCGACGACGGGUAGCCGGCCUGAGAGGGCGACCGGCCACACUGGGACUGAGACACGGCCCAGACUCCUACGGGAGGCAGCAGUGGGGAAUCUUGCGCAAUGGGCGAAAGCCUGACGCAGCGACGCCGCGUGGGGGAUGAAGGCCUUCGGGUUGUAAACCCCUUUCAGCAGGGACGAAGCGAAAGUGACGGUACCUGCAGAAGAAGCGCCGGCUAACUACGCGCCAGCAGCCGC